rfam:Geobacteraceae bacterium GWC2_55_20 gwc2_scaffold_1178, whole genome shotgun sequence.
UGACGGCUACCCGGUUGCGGGAGUUGAUCAAAAAACGGUGAAUGAAUUAAAUUACAUACCGCACGGAUUCGAAGGUGAACCGGGACGGAAGG